UGGAACUCUGGCCCAAGGCUCUCUGACUGACUCCUUCCCAGAUCUUCUCGGCUUAGCGGCUGAAGACCGACGCUGCCGGAUCGUCUCGGAAGCCCCGUAGACCAUCACGGACGCCGAGCUUUAAGUAACUCUCACAGUGGACGGUAAGUCCGUCCCCUUCUUAAUCAAUACGGAGGCUACCCACUCCACAUUACCCUCUUUUCAAGGGCCUGUUUCCCUUGCCUCCAUAACUGUUGUAGGUAUUGACAGCCAGGCUUCUAAACCUCUUAAAACUCCCCAACUCUGGUGCCAACUUAGACAACACUCUUUUAUGCACUCCUUUUAGUUAUCCCCACCUGCCCAGUUUCCUUAUUAGGCCGAGACACUUUAACUAAAUUAUCUGCUUCCCUGACUAUUCCUGGACUACAGCUACAUCUCAUUGCCUCCCUUCUUCCCAAUCCAAAGCCUCCUUCAUGUCCUCCUCUUGUAUUCCCCAACCUUAACCCACAAGUAUAAGAUACCUCUACUCCCUCCUUGGCGACCGAUCAUGCACCCCUUACCAUCUCAUUAAAACCUAAUCAGCCUUAUCCCGCUCAAUGCCAAUAUCCCAUCCCACAGCAUGCUUUGAAAGGAUUAAAGCCUGUUAUCACUGGCUUGCUACAGCAUGGCCUUUUAAAGCCCAUAAACUCUCCUUACAAUUCCCCCAUUUUACCUGUCCUAAAACCAGACAAGCCUUACAAGUUAGUUCAGGAUCUGCGCCUUAUCAACCAAAUUGUUUUGCCUAUCCACCCCAUGGUGCCAAACCCGUAUACUCUCCUAUCCUCAAUACCUCCCUCCACAAUCUGUUAUUCUGUUCUGGAUCUCAAACAUGCUUGCUUUACUAUUGCUUUGCACCCUUCAUCUCACCCUUUCUUCGCUUUCACUUGGACUGACCCUGACACCCAUCAGGCUCAGCAAAUUACCUGGGCUGUACUGCCGUAAAGCUUCACAGACAGCCCCCAUUACUUCAGUCAAGCCCAAAUUUCUUCCUCAUCUGUUAUCUAUCUCAGCAUAAUUCUCAUAAAAACACACGUGCUCUCCCUGCCAAUUGUGUCCAAUUAAUCUGUCAAACCCCAACCCCUUCUACAAAACAACAACUCCUUUCCUUCCUGGGCAUAGUUAGAUACUUUCACCUUUAGAUACCUGGUUUUGCCAUCCUAACAAAACCAUCAUAUAAACUCACAAAAAGCCUGUUUCUCACCCUGAUCACACUUAGUUUAUUGACGGCAGUUCCACCAGGCCUAAUCACCACACACCAGCAAAAGCAGGCUAUGCUAUAGUACAAGCCACUAGCCUGCCUCUUAAAACCUCUCAUUUCCUUUCCAUCGUAGAAAUCUAUCCUCAAGGAAAUAACUUCUCAAUGUUCCAUCUGCUAUUCUACUACUCCUCAGGGAUUAUUCAGGCCCCCUCCCUUCCCUACACAUCAAGCUUAGGGAUUUGCCCCCGCCCAGAACUGGCAAAUUAGCUUUACUCAACAUGCCCCGAGUCAGGAAACUAAAAUACCUCUUAGUCUAAGUAGACACUUUCACUAGAUAAGUAGAGAUCUUUCCUUCAGGGUCUGAGAAGGCCACCGCAGUCAUUUCUUCCCUUCUGUCAGACGUAAUUCCUCAGUUUAGCCUUCCCACCUCUAUACAGUCUGAUAACAGACCAGCCUUUAUUAGUCAAAUCAGCCAAGCAGUUUUUCAGGCUCUUAGUAUUCAGUGAAACCUUUAUAUCCCUUACAGUCCUCAGUCUUCAAGAAAAGUAGAACAGACUAAAGGUCUUUUAAAAACACACUUCACCAAGCUCAGCCACCAACUUAAAAAAGAAUAGACAAUACUUUUACCACUUUCCCUUUCAGAAGUCAGGCCUGUCCUCAGAAUGCUACAAAGUACAGCUCAUUUAAGCUCCUGUAUAGAUGCUCCUUUUUAUUAGGCCCCAGUCUCAUUCCAGACACCAGACCAACUUGGACUGUGCCGCAAAAAACUUGUCAUCCCUACUGUCUUCUGUCUAGUCAUACUCCUAUUCACCAUUCUCAACUACUCAUACAUGCCCUGCUCUUGUUUACAUUGCCGGUUUACACUGUUUCUCCAAGCUAUCACAGCUGAUAUCUCCUGGUGCUAUCCCCAAACCGUCACUCUUAACUGUUAAAGUAAAUAAAUAAGCUUUGCUGGUAAGGCUAUGCUGAACCUCCUUAGGCAUUCUCUAAUUAGAUGUCCUAAGUCCUCCCAGUUCUUAGUCCUUUUUUUUUUAUUAUUAUUAUUAUACUUUAAGUUUUAGGGUACAUGUGCACCUGUUUUUCUCCUUCUCUUAUUCUGUUUAGUUUUUCAAUUCAUACAAAACUGUAUCCAGGCCAUCACCAAUAAUUCUAAAUGACAAAUGUUUCUUCUAACAACCCCACAAUAUCACCCCUUACCACAAAAUCUUCCUUCAGCUUAAUCUCUCCCACUCUAGGUUCCCACGCCGCCCCUAGUCCCGCUUGAAGCAGCCCGGAGAAACAUCGCCCAUUAUCUCUCCAUACCACCCCCAAAAAUUUUCGCCAUCCCAACACUUUACCACUGUUUUGUUUUAUUUUAUAAAUAAAUUAAUUAUUAAGAAUAUAUAUUUAUUUUAUAAAUAAAUUAAUUAUUAAUAUAAGAAGACAGGAAUGCCAGGCCUCUGAGCCCAAGCUAAGCCAUCAUAUCCCCUGUGACCUGCACAUACACAUCCAGAUGGCCGGUUCCUGCCUUAACUGAUGACAUUCCACCACAAAAGAAGUGAAAAUGGCCUGUUCCUGCCUUAACUGUGACAUUGUCUUGUGAAAUUCCUUCUCCUGGCUCAUCCUGGCUCAAAAGCUCCCCUACUGAGUACCUUGUGACCCCCACUCCUGCCUGCCAGAGAACAACCCCCCUUUUUCCUUUACCUACCCAAAUCCUAUAAAAUGGCCCCACCCCUAUCUCCCUUCGCUGACUCUCUUUUCAGACUCAGCCCGCCUGCACCCAGGUGAUUAAAAGCUUUAUUGCUCACACAAAGCCUGUUUGGUGGUCUCUUCACAUGGACGUGUGUGAAACCAGCUACUUGGGAAGUGGAGGCAGGAGGAUCGCUUGUGUCUAGGAGGUCAAAGCUGCACUGAGUUAUGACGGCAUCACUGCACUCCAGCCUAGGUGACUCAGUGAAACCCAGUUCAAAAAAUUAUUUUUUUAAAAAAAGAGUGUAGAAAGAGUUCAACAACAAAGGAGUAGCACAGGAUAUUUGGGUAUGCAGGGGGUAAGACAGUGAUGGAACUGUUCUAUUUCUUGAUUGUGAUGAUGGUUAUAUUAGUUUGUACAUUUGUUAAGACUCAUAGAACUAUAUACCAAUAAGAGUGAUUUUUGCAGUAUGUAAAUUUUAAAACAAAUUAAGAAAAUGUAUUGAAAAUAAAAUCAUAGACCGCAAUACCAUUGUAUUAGUUUCCUAUGGCUGCUGUGACAAGUAACCACAAACUUGGUGAUUUUAAACAACAUGAAUGUACUUUUCCGUAGUUCUAGAGGCCAGAAGUCCAAGAUGAGUCUUACAGAGCUAAAAUCAAGGUGUAGACAGGCCCAGGCUCCUCCUGGAGGUUGCCUCCUCCAACUACUGGUGGCCAUUGGCAUUUCUUGGCUUGUGGCUGCAUCACUCCAAUCUCUGUUUCCAUGGUCAUAUUAAUUUCUCUUCUUUUUUCUGUGUGAAUUGUGCCUUUGUCCCCUCUCUUAUAAUGACACUUAGGAUUGCAUUAGAGAUCAGGUGAAUACUCCAAGAUAAUCUCCUAUCUCAAGAAUCUUUAAUGACUCUAGACAGCCUUUGCCAUAUAAGGUAAUAUUCACUGAUUCCAGGGAUUAGAAUGUGGCCAUUCGGAGUAUGAGGCCAUCAUUCAGCCUCCCACAACUGUAGUAAAUAGGAGAGGUCUACACAGGGAACUUUUCAUAUACUGAUAAUGUUCAAAUUCUUAAGUGAUAAAAACAUAGGUGUUCAGCAUUUAAGUGGCAGAAAACAAGAAGAAAUGGGAGUAUUUCUACUGAGUGAGUAGUUUGGAGAAGUUAGAAAAUAUAUGGUAAAUUCAAGCUAUGAUGAAUUAUCCUAGUUCAAUUGUGUUACUAUAAAGGAAUACCUGAGGCUGAGUAAUUUAUGAAGAAAAGAGGUUUAUUUGGUUCACAGUUCUGCAGGCUGUACAAGAAGAACGGUGCCAGCAUCUGCUUGUCACUAAGGCCUCAGGCUGCUUGCACACAUGGUAGAAGGUGAAGAGGAGCCUGCAUGUACAGAGAUUACACAGUGGGAAAGGAAGCAAGAGAGAGGGAAGGGAGGUGCUAGGCUUUUCUUAACAACCAGCUCCCACAGAAACUAAGAGUGAGAAUUCACUCAUCUCCAGCUCCCAUCAGAGGGCAUUAAUCUAUUCAUGAGGGAUCUGCCACCAUGAUGCAAACACUUCCCAUUAAGCCCGACCUCCAAUAUUGAAGAUCAAAUUGAAACAUGAGAUUUGGAGGGUUCGAACUUCUAAACUAUAGCAUGACUACACUCAAGUGACUUGAAUAUGGGAUGUGGUGGAGUAUAUCAUGAAAGAGGUUUAAAAGGUUACAGCCAAAUAAUAGGGCACCUCAAAUCUCUUGGUAAUAAUUUUGGCAUCAUUCUGGAGGUCUUACAGAGUGAUUAAAUGUUUUUGAGUCAGUGGGAAUCAAACCAAUGUGUUAAUUCAUCGUAUAAAUACAUACAAAUUAUAAUAGCAUUUAUUAUGUGGCAAGAAUGGCUUAAGAACUUUAAAUAUUUUAAAUCAUUUUAUUCUUGUAGCAUCCUUAAGAGUAAGCACUAUUAUUAUCAUCAUUUUACAAAUGAGGAAACUGAAGCACAGAAAUGUCAAGUGGCUUUCCCAAGGUCAUACCGCAAGUAAGUCACAGAAUCAGUAUUUGGAUCUAGGAAGAGAGCCUUCAGAGUCCUUGUUUUAAUUAUUUGCUCUACCAAGAAGAAAAAGAAGAGAGAAAAAAAGAAAAUAAAGAAUACAGACAGGCAGGUUAAUGAGAGAAAAAGAUAAAUAAUGAAGAACAAAAAGCAAGGAGCAAUAUUCUGAAGAGUUACAGACAUGAUGGAAUAAACAGCAAGUUGUCAAAAGGAGCUGCAAAUGCCCAUGUAUGCCCUUUCAGGAGCGCUAGACUAUCUGCAUGAGACAGAGAGUAAAUCCUGAUGCCAUCACUCAAACUAGACCUACAAGUGCCUCGAGUUCUUACAGAUCCCCAUCUUUCUGGGCAAAACAUCCAUCCUUCAAAUCAUUCCACAGGUUAAAGAACAAAUGUCAGGUUACACUCUUGAAUAGUACAGUCCUAUUUUCUCCCAUAAAUGCCUGCAUAGGACGUCUUCUUCAUAUGGACCCUAAAAUAUUUCUACAAGUAGUAGACAUUUUUUAGAACUGCAAUAAAGUAAUGUAAUAAAUGCAUUGUUUGAAUUUUUUCCUGUUUUAUAUAUGAUACCUGAGAUUAGAAUUGUGUCCCUUUUAUAUAAAAUUGGGCAGUUUUAUUUUGUGCCAUUUCAAAGGUAUUGUUCUAUAUCACUGUAGUUUCAGAUGUUUAUUUUUUAUUAUUUCAAAGUCAAAACAUGAAGAAGUAAGAUGUAUGUUUCUGUAUGCCUUUAAAAAUGCAAACCUGCAACAUUAAUGGGAACUUUCCCCAGGACACUUCAUUUCAGUUCCAACUGGCUGCUAAUUACUUACUCACAGUGGAAGUGUCACACUGCUUUCCUUUCAGCACUUCGUUGGCCAAGUGUCUCUGGCAAUAAUCUCUCAACACAUAAGCACCAUUCCCUUUCAUCACAUUAUUUAAUCAAUAAAGUAAUGUCCUCGCACUGGCCAGGCUCAGAGCCAUCUUGUCACAAGUGCUAAAUAAAUGAAACAAACACCAGUCCUGCUUCUACAACCUCUCCAUUAAUAAACAUGAACGGAGACGCCUUUAAUACAAAAUCCAUUCUCUCAAACGUUUAAAACUGCACACACAUGCACGUUUGCAAGACUAGAAGAGGAAUCAUUUAUAUGAUGGUGAGAAUAGACCAAGCAGCACUGGGCCAAGUCCCACUCACAAGUGGUGAGAUUACGUUAUUUCCAACUGGGACAAGUGCCCCUUCCAUGCUCUCCCAGGGCUGCUUGUUCCCAAGGGGUGAUGUUUCCUCAUCCAUGUUCUGUCUGUAAGAGGCAAGCACAUCAUGGCACUCCCUCUGCUGCUCAGUUUACAAAAGAAUGAUAGGAUGCCCCAUUUUUCCUUCUCUUUUUGCCAGGGGCCCUGCACUAUGGUAGUAUUGGGCUUCCAAAUAUAAAGUUUGGAUCCCAAUUCAUCCUCUCCUAUUUCUCAAUGGUAAUAAAACCAGAGGAGAGAAGGGUGAGUCUUAGCCUUAGUCUAACAGAUGCUGGCACACUCUAGGUAUGCAAUGUUAAAAGGAUAAAUGACUUAUUUAUGUAGCAUCAGAGUCACCUUCUUUAGAAGCUAGCAUUUAUUAAGCACUUAAUAUGUGGCAGGCACUCUUCUAAUAGGUAACUUGCUUAAUUCUCUCAUUUUAUACAUUGAGAAACUAAGGCUUGGCAAGGAUAAGUCAGUUAUCCAGAGUCCCAGCAGGUGAGAGCAAAGCUAGGAUGUCUUCAUUUCUCUGUGAAAAGUUAUUUCCAAUUGGAGUCCUAGAACUUUCAAGAUCCACCUUUUUUUUUCACUGUUUUUAUUUAUCUGUGCUGCCUGAGGGAAUACAUUCUUAUGACCAACUGGCAUUGCUGUCAGUGUUUCAAGAGUAAGCUCGCUAUCCCCAAGUUCUCUGGCAUUGAAGAAUCAGGAACCAUGUUUUUAUAAAUAAAAUCACUCUGUAAUCAUUCCACUUUCUGUGAAAAAUCUCACCACACCACAAUACUUCCAUGGGUUCCCAAAAGGUUCCCUGUGUCCGAUUCCUACUCUUUCUGAAAUCCCUCUCCUUGCCAUCUCACCUCCAGGUGAGUUCUUCCUCAUUCCCCCUCUGUCCCAAGCAUGGGAGAGCUCCUCUUCCUGCAUCACCCAAAGCACCAUUAAAUAAGGGUGCCAUGUAAAACUGACUUGUAUUGAGGAUUAUAGAAGGAAAUUAAAUUACACCACAGGUCAAAAACUAACUUCAAAUGGAAUAUUCCACACCAUAAAUAUAUUCAGCCAUUCUUCUACAAUAACUCUCUUACCAACCCUCUUCCCCGCUUAGGUCCUGACUGUUAUCCAUGUCAUCUUCCUACUAAGACCCUUUUAUUCUGUCUCCUCUACUCUAUAUACUACUCAAGCCCUAAACAACUCCUUCUUGAGCUUCCAAAAGACAAUCAUCAAACUCUUGUUACUUGAUGAUACAGAGCAAAUAAAGCACCCUCCCAAUGUCUAGGUGAAUUUUGGGGCACUUACUUUUCAUUCUAAAAAAACAAAAAAAAAAAUAAGGUUUUCCUUACAAAAAGAGAAAUCCUCUUUUUUAAGGGUGGCCACUUCAAAAUGAAGCCACCCAUUAUGUUUUUCUCACUGCACAAUUUUUAGAGUUCUAGAAAGUGAAUAGAGCCUUGUCUAAGCAGUCAAAGCUCUCAGCAGUGUGGAUAACUGCCCUUACCCUAAAACAAUGCUUUAUUUAAGAUGCCUAGAGGAAGGAUAUCCUAGUCAAAAUAUUCUUUUUUAAAAAUAAAAUAGAAAUAGCUCCUCCUGAGCUAUUUGACAAGUUAGUGCCACUUAGGGUGAGUGUCACACUCUUGAUGUUGUUCAAUAAAUAUUUGCUAAAUAAAUUGGUGAUUGCAGUCACUUCCCAAAGGAAAGAAGACAAAAGGUACAAGUAAAGUAAAAUUACUUUAUUUUCACUUUAAGAGCAAAAACUUUAAUAAUUGCCUUGAGUCUGUUUUAGCAGAAAUUAGGCACUUGGUUUUCAUUAGCAGAGGCAUUCAGAGAUAUUUCUGCUAAUGAAAAUCUAAAACCAGGCCUUUAAAAUGGCUUAGUGAUAGUGAUGAUUCUUAAGAGAGCUCAUGAGUUUCCCAGCCCUAUGGGACAUGUUGAUCAUUCAUUUUAUAGGUCAAAUGCAAGUGCGUUUAUUAAUGUAUGCUCUGAUCUAACCCACAUUGCAGGACUAACUUCACAGUGCUUGAUCAAUGAUACCCAAAUUAAUGGAUUCAUCAGUGCUGCCUAUUGAGACACCCUCGUCAUUUAUAUUGCAUUUCUUCCAACUCGUAAUUAGGCAUGUAAUCUGUGCAGUCUCUAAGUGGAUUCUUGAAAAGAAACCUACAUCAGAAGAAAGUGUGGAGAUUUUUAUUGUAUUGAUGACUUUGGCUCAUCAGUUGCUCCUGUUCUGUUACAUUAUUUCUUCUACAUCUUGACGGGUACUUUCUUUCUCAUGCUAAAGUUCCCCCAUUGUUACAAAUCCUUCAGUCAAAGAUUGUAUUCUACAUCAUGCCUUUCCUUUGUCCAUAAAAUUUCUGUUCCUACUACUUCAUUGAAAUAUUUAUUUCAAAAGUCUUCAAUAAUCUUCUAACCACAAAAUGUAAUUCCCUUUCAUAGACUCAGUAGCAUCUGGUAUUGCUAACCAUGCACUCUUAUUUGAAACCUUUUCACCUGCUGGACUCUAAGACAUUACCCUUUCCAGAUCCUUUUCCUGUCUCUCUGUUCAGAAUUCAUCAGUCUCUUUGUAGGAUCUCUUUCUACCAGCUUGUUAAACUUUCCUCCAAGUUCUGCCGCCUCGACUUGACAAUAUACUUGACAUAUAUACUUAUGUAUAUAUGACAUGACUAUAUACUCAUCUUGACAAUAUACUCAUUCCAAUGGCUUCUACAAUCACCUCUAGGUACAUAAUUUCCAAACUUAAGCCCUAAUGUAACUACUAAAGAGGAAAGCAAGGGAAGGAUGAAAUAAUAUGGUAGAAAUAAAUCCCCAAACGCCAUUAAUAAAAGCAAAUAUUAAAAAACUAAAUUCUCCAGUUUAAAAGAUCUUCAGUGAAGAUAAAAUACAAGUUGAUUACAAACUCUAAGAUUGAAUAAACAUAGAAAUUUGUUUGUAUGUGUUUGAAAGAGGAACGCCCAAAACAUAAAGACACAGAAGUUUGAAAGUAAAGAAAGAAACAAGAUAUCUGCCCUCCCACCACCAUCAAAAAAAAAAGCUUUUUUCACUACAUUAAUAGCAGAUAAAAUGCAAUUUAGGGCAAAAAAAAAGCAUAUUGAAAUGAAGAAGGUCAUUAUAUAUUAAAAGCAUCAAAAUUUAGCAGGAAUAUGUAAAAAUGGCAACUUGUAUGUACCUAAUAAUAUAGCCUCAAGACAUGAAAAGCAAAAAUCAGUUGAAAUGCAAGGAUAUAUUGAUAAUGGCAAAAUUAUAAUGAGAGAUUUUAUCAUCUUUCUUAGUAAUUGAUAAAUCAAAAACAAAAUAUUACUAUGCAUUGCUUCAUAUUUUGCAUAUAAAAAUGCAUCCACCAAUUAAACAUACUUUUCUCAAGCCUAUGUAGAAAAAUUAUAAAAAAUGAUCAUCUAUUAGAACAAAAAGCAAUUCUCAACAAAUAUUAAAGAAUCUCUGUCAUUCAGAUCAGCCUCUGAACAAGUACAAUCAGAUUAGAAGUCAAAUACAAAAAAUAAUCCCAUAUAUUUAGAAAUUUAAAAUUUAUAUAAUUUAUGUAUUCUAAUUACAAUGACCAUUUCAAAAUAUUUAUAAUUAAUUGAAUGAUGAAAAUUGUACAUAUCAAAACUUAUGAGAUAAAGCUAAAGCAAUAUUUUGAAAAAAUUUAUAUUCUCAAUGCUAUAUACAUUUUCAGAAAGAGUAAAAAUCAAUAACUCACCUAUGCAACUCAAAAAAUUAGGAGAGCAUCAACUACAAAGUAUAUAAAAUAAAAUAAUAACAGUAAAAGCAGAAAUUAAUAAAAUGUUUAAAAACAAGAAUAAAACUAAAAAGAAUCAGCAAAAAAAAAAAGUUGAUUUGAAAACAAAAAAAAACUAGUUAGACAAACUACUAGCCAAAGCAAUAAAGAAUAAAAAAGAAAAAAGACAAAUAGAAAAUAAUCUUAAAAGCAGACAUAAAGGACAUAGCUACAGAAACAGUGGAGACUUCUUUUUAAUCAAAAGAGAAUACUAUGGCCAAAUUCAUGCCAUGAAAUUUGAAAGUUAAGAUUAAAAGGACAGUCUCUGAAAAAAUAUAAUUUCUCUGACCCAUCUCCAGAAAUAAAUAACUUCAAUGGAUAUAUAACCUUUAGAACACAGAUAUUGAAUCCCUAAUUAAAAUCUACACAGCUCACUCUUCAGCAACAAAAUGAAACAAAGUUAAUCAAGCGUUUCAUACAUGGAGAAUAAUAUCUAACACCAUGGACCUUUUUUUUUUUUUUUUUUUUUGAGAUGGAGUCUUGCUCUGUCACCAGGCUGGAGUGCAGUGGGGCAAUCUUGGCUCAUUACAAUUUCCGCCUCCUGGGUUCAAGCGAUUCUCCUGCCUCAGCUUCCAGAGUAGCUGGGAUUACAGGUGCGCACCACCACACCCAGCUAAUUUUUGCAUUUUCAGUAGAGACAGGGUUUCACCAUGUUGGCCAGGAUAGUCUCGAUCUCCUGACCUCGUGAUCCGCCAGCCCCGGCCUCCCAAAGUGCUGGGAUUACAGGCAUGAGCCACCACGCCCGGUCCAUCAUAGACUAUUAGAACUGAAUGAAUCUUAGAGAGCAUCUGAUACAACCGUCCCCUGCAAACAAGGGAACUGAAGUUCAGAGAGAUGAAAAUAACAACCGCCACCACAACAGCUGCUAAUGUUAAUGGAGUCCUCACUAUGAGUCAGGUAGUAUGUUAAAUGCUUUGUGUGCAUUAUCUCAUUUAAUAUCAAUAACCCUGUAAAAUAAGUGCUAACAUUUUUGCUUUGCAUGUAAGAAAAUCGCUGCUUAUAAAAUUUAAAUAACUUGCCCAGGGUCACUUGGCUAAUAAGAGGCAGUAAGAUUCAAACUCAGGUUCAUCUGCCUGCAACACCUGUGCUCCUAGCUGCAGCGUGGCAAUCAGGAUGCAUAAGGUAAAGGCAUAGUAGAUACUUCAUUCCCUCUGACCCUUCUGUACUCCCUCCUGGUCCCCACCCCCACCAAGAAUGCCUUUCUAAUACUACACUAUCUCUUCAAGAACAAGUAAUUGGGAAAUAUUAGGAAUAAUAAUUCUAACACACACACACAUAUAUAUUGAGAUGGAGUCUGGCUCUGUCACCCAGGCUGGAGUGCAGUUGCGGGAUCUUGGCUCACUGC
rnacentral:lncRNA from 1 species